CAAGUACUCCCUCCGUCCGGAAUUACUUGUCAUCAAAAUGUGUGUGUCUAGAACUAAAAUACAUCUAGAUACAUCCAUUUGAAUGACAAGUAUUUUCGGACGGAGGGAGUACAAG
rnacentral:pre_miRNA from 1 species